UGGCUCAGGAUGAACGCUGGCGGCGUGCUUAACACAUGCAAGUCGAACGGUGAAGCCCAGCUUGCUGGGUGGAUCAGUGGCGAACGGRURAGUAACACGUGAGUAACCUGCCCCUGACUCUGGGAUAAGCCUUGGAAACGAGGUCUAAUACCGGAUACGAGACGCUCGGGCAUCCGAAGUGUCUGGAAAGAUUUAUCGGUCAGGGAUGGACUCGCGGCCUAUCAGCUUGUUGGUGGGGUAGUGGCCUACCAAGGCGACGACGGGUAGCCGGCCUGAGAGGGCGACCGGCCACACUGGGACUGAGACACGGCCCAGACUCCUACGGGAGGCAGCAGUGGGGAAU
rnacentral:rRNA from 1 species